rnacentral:rRNA from 1 species
GCGGCGCGCUUAACACAUGCAAGUCGCGCGAUCGGACCGGACCUGACUCCUUCGGGAUGACGGACCGGUUACGGAGCGGCGGACUGGUGAGUAACACGUAGCUAACCUCCCUUCGGGCGGGAAAUAGCAUCGGGAAACUGAUGUUAAUAUCCCAUAACCAUGAGAGAACCCAAGUUCUCCCAUUAAAGUGGUUUCGACCAUACCUGAAGAUGGGGCUGCGUCCUAUUAGCUUGACGGUGAGGUAAAGGCUCACCGUGGCGAAGAUAGGUAGGGGGCCUGAGAGGGCGAUCCCCCACACUGGGACUGAGACACGGCCCAGACUCCUACGGGAGGCUGCAGUGGGGAAUCUUGCGCAAUGGUCGAAAGACUGACGCAGCGACGUCGCGUGGAGGACGAAGGCCUUCGGGUUGUAAACUCCUUUUCUGGGGGAAGAAUAAGAUGAGUAGGCAAUGGCUCACCGAUGACGGUACCUCAGGAACAAGCGCCGGCUAACUUCGUGCCAGCAGCCGCGGUAAGACGAAGGGCGCAAGCGUUAUCCGGAAUUACUGGGCGUAAAGGGCGUCUAGGCGGUCAGUCAAGUCAGUCGUGAAAGUCCUUGGCUAAACUGAGGAAAGUCGACCGAUACUGAUUGACUAGAGGGACGUAGAGGGAAGCGGAACUCUCGGAGUAGCGGUGAAAUGCGUAGAGACCGAGAGGUACCCCGAUGGUGAAGACAGCUUCCUGGGCGUCUCCUGACGCUGAAGCGCUAAGGCCAGGGGAGCGAAGGGGAUUAGAUACCCCCGUAGUCCUGGCUUCAAACUAUGUGGGCUUGGUGUCGGCUCCCGAUAGAGAGUCGUUGCCGGAGCUAACGUGUUAAGCCCACCGCCUGGGGAUUACGUCC